UACGUAGGGGGCAAGCGUUGUCCGGAAUCAUUGGGCGUAAAGAGCGUGUAGGCGGCCCGAUAAGUCCGCCGUGAAAGCCCAGGGCUCAACCCUGGGAUGCCGGUGGAUACUGUCGGGCUAGAGUUCGGAAGAGGCAAGUGGAAUUCCCGGUGUAGUGGUGGAAUGCGUAGAUAUCGGGAGGAACACCAGUGGCGAAGGCGGCUUCCUGGACCGGUUCUGACACUGAGGAGCGAAAGCGUGGGGAGCGAUCCGG
rnacentral:rRNA from 1 species